rnacentral:rRNA from 1 species
UCUUCUACACCUACAACCGCCAGGGAACUACGAGCUUUAGCUUAAAACCCAAAGGACUUGACGGUGKCCCACCCAACUAGAGGAGCCUGUCCUAUAAUCGAUAUUCCACGUUAUACCUAACCACUUUUUGCUUAUCAGCCUGUACACCUCCGUCGUAAGCUUACCAUAUGAACGCAUAACAGUAGGCCUAAGGACUUAACGCCACAAUGGCAGGUCAAGGUGCAGCUCACAAAGUGGUAGAGAUGAGCUACAAUUUCUAAGUUAGAACAAACGAAAUACUUUAUGAAAUAGAGUCAUGAAGGUGGAUUUAGUAGUAAGUGGGGAAUAGAGAGCCCCACUAAACUCGGCCCUGGGACGUGUACAAACCGCCCGUCGCCCUCUUCGAUAGCCUACCAUUAUGUUAAUAACGCAAUCUACGCGCCUUAGAAGAGGUAAGUCGUAACAUGGUAAGUAUACUGGAAAGUGUGCUUGGAAUAA